GGCCCGGUAGCUCAGUUGGUUAGAGCACCAGCCUGUCACGCUGGGGGUCGUCGGUUCGAGCCCGAUUCGGGUCGCCA
rnacentral:tRNA from 2 species